GCUGCUAAUACCGCAUAAGCCUACAGCCUCGCAUGAGGGAGUAGGAAAAGAAAUUCGGUGCAGGAUGAGUCCGCGUCUGAUUAGCUAGUUGGAGGGGUAAAAGCCCACCAAGGCAACGAUCAGUAGCCGGCCUGAGAGGGCGAACGGCCACAUUGGGACUGAGACACGGCCCAAACUCCUACGGGAGGCAGCAGUGGGGAAUAUUGCACAAUGGGGGAAACCCUGAUGCAGCGACGCCGCGUGAGCGAGGAAGUAUUUCGGUAUGUAAAGCUCUAUCAGCAGGGACGAAAAAAGACGGUACCUGACUAAGAAGCCCCGGCUAACUACGUGCCAGCAGCCGCGGUAAUACGUAGGGGGCAAGCGUUAUCCGGAUUUACUGGGUGUAAAGGGAGCGUAGACGGCAAGGCAAGCCAGAAGUGAAAGGGCAGGGCUCAACCCUGUACAUGCUUUUGGAACUGUGGUGCUAGAGUGCAGGAGAGGUAAGUGGAAUUCCUAGUGUAGCGGUGAAAUGCGUAGAUAUUAGGAGGAACACCAGUGGCGAAGGCGGCUUACUGGACUGUAACUGACGUUGAGGCUCGAAAGCGUGGGGAGCAAACAGGAUUAGAUACCCUGGUAGUCCACGCUGUAAACGA
rnacentral:rRNA from 1 species